GCCUUCGUGGUGUAGUGGUCAGCACGCUCGACGCGUAAUCGAGAGGUCCGUGGUUCGAUUUCCGGCGAAGGCA
rnacentral:tRNA from 1 species